rnacentral:rRNA from 1 species
CCAAAUUCCGCGCCCUGACGAAAUAGGGCGUUAAAAGAUGUAGGUAUAUUUUCUAUAGGCAAAUCCGUAGAGAAUGCUGAAGUCCAACAGUACCAGGAGGCUCCGGCCGAAUGGAUAGAGAAUGUAAGCAGACUUCCGAGAAAAUCUUCUAAGCAUAUUGAUACGGUACCCGUACCGCAAACCGACACAGGUAGUCAAGGAGAGAAUCCUGAGGUGCUCGAGUGAGUCAUGGCUAAGGAACUAGGCAAAUUAAACCUGUAACUUCGGGAAAAGGGUUGCCUCUCUUUAGCAAUAAAGAAGGUCGCAGAGAAAUGGCCCAGGCGACUGUUUAACAAAAACACAUGGCUAUGCGAAAUCGUAAGAUGAAGUAUAUGGCCUGACACCUGCCCGGUGCUGGAAGGUUAAGGGGGGAAGUUAGUCGCAAGGCGAAGCUUUGAACUGAAGCCCCAGUAAACGGCGGCCGUAACUGUAACGGUCCUAAGGUAGCGAAAUUCCUUGUCGGGUAAGUUCCGACCUGCACGAAUGGUGUAACGAUCUGGGCACUGUCUCAGCCAUGAGCUCGGUGAAAUUGUAGUCACGGUGAAGAUGCCGUGUACCCGUCACGGGACGGAAAGACCCCAUGCACCUUUACUAUAGCUUCGCAUUGACAUUGGGUAGAUGAUGUGUAGGAUAGGUGGGAGGCGUUGAUCCUGUGCCGCUAGGUAUAGGGGAGCCAACGGUGAAAUACCACCCUUUAUUUAUCUGAUGUCUAAUCCGCAAGACCUGCGGAGACAGUGCGUGGUGGGUAGUUUGACUGGGGUGGUCGCCUCCGAAAGUGUAUCGGAGGCUUUCAAAGGUAUGCUCAAUACGCUUGGUAACCGUAUGUGGAGUGCAAUAGCAUAAGCAUGCUUGACUGUGAGACUGACAAGUCGAGCAGGGUCGAAAGACGGAUAUAGUGAUCCGGUGGUUCUGUAUGGAAGGGCCAUCGCUCAAAGGAUAAAAGGUACGCUGGGAUAACAGGCUGAUCUCCCCCAAGAGCUCACAUCGACGGGGAGGUUUGGCACCUCGAUGUCGGCUCGUCACAUCCUGGGGCUGGAGAAGGUCCCAAGGGUUAGGCUGUUCGCCUAUUAAAGUGGCACGCGAGCUGGGUUCAGAACGUCGUGAGACAGUUCGGUCCCUAUCUGUGAUGGGCGUAGGAAGUUUGAGAGGAUCUGACCUUAGUACGAGAGGACCGGGUUGGACCAACCGCUGGUGUACCGGUUGUGGCGUCAGCUGCAUCGCCGGGUAGCUACGUUGGGACGAGAUAAGCGCUGAAAGCAUCUAAGCGCGAAACUCACCUCAAGAUGAGACUUCCAUUAAGGGACGUCAGGGACUAUGACGUUGAUAGGCUGCAGGUGUAAAGGCAGAAAUGUCAAAGCUGAGCAGUACUAAUUACUC